rnacentral:rRNA from 1 species
GUAGGUGGCAAGCGUUGUCCGGAAUUAUUGGGCGUAAAGCGCGCGCAGGUGGUUCUUUAAGUCUGAUGUGAAAGCCCCCGGCUCAACCGGGGAGGGUCAUUGGAAACUGGGGAACUUGAGUGCAGGAGAGGAAAGUGGAAUUCCACGUGUAGCGGUGAAAUGCGUAGGUAUGUGGAGGAACACCAGUGGCGAAGGCGACUUUCUGGCCUGUAACUGACACUGAGGCGCGAAAGCGUGGGGAGCAAACAGGGAUUAGAUACCCUGGUAGUCCACGCCGUAAACGAUGAGUGCUAAGUGUUGGGGGGGUUUCCCGCCCCUCAGUGCUGCAGCUAACGCAUUAAGCACUCCGCCUGGGGAGUACGGUCGCAAGACUG